rnacentral:rRNA from 1 species
GACGAACGCUGGCGGCGUGCUUAACACAUGCAAGUCGAACGGAAAGGCCCUGCUUGCAGGGUACUCGAGUGGCGAACGGGUGAGUAACACGUGGGUGAUCUGCCCUGCACUUCGGGAUAAGCCUGGGAAACUGGGUCUAAUACCGGAUAGGAGCCAUUUUUAGUGUGAUGGUUGGAAAGUUUUUUCGGUGUAGGAUGAGCUCGCGGCCUAUCAGCUUGUUGGUGGGGUAAUGGCCUACCAAGGCGGCGACGGGUAGCCGGCCUGAGAGGGUGGACGGCCACAUUGGGACUGAGAUACGGCCCAGACUCCUACGGGAGGCAGCAGUGGGGAAUAUUACACAAUGGGCGCAAGUCUGAUGCAGCGACGCCGCGUGGGGGAUGACGGCCUUCGGGUUGUAAACUCCUUUCGCUAGGGACGAAGCUUUUUGUGACGGUACCUAGAUAAGAAGCACCGGCUAACUACGUG